rnacentral:rRNA from 1 species
GACGAACGCUGGCGGCGUGCCUAAUACAUGCAAGUAGAACGCUGAAGCGAGGAGCUUGCUCUUCUUGGAUGAGUUGCGAACGGGUGAGUAACGCGUAGGUAACCUGCCUUGUAGCGGGGGAUAACUAUUGGAAACGAUAGCUAAUACCGCAUAACAAUGGAUGACACAUGUCAUUUAUUUGAAAGGGGCAAUUGCUCCACUACAAGAUGGACCUGCGUUGUAUUAGCUAGUAGGUGAGGUAAUGGCUCACCUAGGCGACGAUACAUAGCCGACCUGGGAGGGAGGUCGGCCACACUGGGACUGGGACACGGCCCAGACUCCUACGGGAAGCAGCAGUAGGGAAACUUCGGCAAUGGGGGCAACCCUGACCGAGCAACGCCGCGGGAGUGAAGAAGGGUUUCGGAUCGUAAAGGUCUGUUGUAAGUCAAGAACGGGUGUGAGAGUGGAAAGUUCACACUGUGACGGUAGCUUAACAGAAAGGGACGGCUAACUACGUG